rnacentral:rRNA from 1 species
AGAGUUUGAUCCUGGCUCAGGAUAAACGCUGGCGGUGUGCCUAAGAUAUGCAAGUCGAGCGAAUUGUAGCAAUACAGUUAGCGGCGGCCGGCUGAGUAACACGUACGAACUUACCCCACUCUCAGGAAUACCUCCGCGAAAGCGGAGCUAAUACACGAUAGACCCUUGCAGUGAUGUGUAGGGUAAAGGACUUAACCGUUCGGAGAGGGAGAGGCGUGCGGAUUAUCAGGUAGUUGGUAGGGUAACGGCCUACCAAGCCUAUGACGAUUAGCUGAUCUUUGUCGGAUGUUCAGCCAGAGGAGCACUGAGACACGGGCUCCACACCUACGGGUGGCAGCAAUCAGGAAUAGUUGGCAAUGGGCGAAAGCCUGACCACGCGACACCGCGUGUAGGAUUAAGGUCCUCGGAUCGUAAACUACUGUGGUAGGGGAUGAACGCAAUCGUAAGAUUGCUUGACAGUACCCUAUUAGAAAGUGACUGCUAACUGCGUGCCAGCAGCAGCGGUAAUACGUGGGUCACGAGCGUUAUCCGGUGUAACUGGGCGUAAAGAGUAUGUAGGCGGCCUUAUAAGUUACUUUUCAAAGCUCGAUGCUUACCAUCGAAAAGGGGAGUAAUACUAUGAGACUAGAGUUUUCUUUAGGGUAAUCGGAAUUCAUGGAGGAGUAGUGAAAUGCGUUGAUACCAUGAAGAACACCAGUGGCGAAGGCGGAUUACUGGAAGAUAACUGACGCUGAGAUACGAAAGCUAGGGGAGCGAACCGGAUUAGAGACCCGGGUAGUCCUAGCCCUAAACGAUGCUUGUUAGCUGCACUGACUCUCCGUAAGGGGACUGGUGUGGCGUAGCUAACGCGAUAAACAAGCCGCCUGGGAAGUAUAGCCGCAAGGCUGAAACUCAAAGGAAUUGGCGGGGAGACACACAACUAGUGGAGCAUGUGGUUUAAUUCGAUACAAACCGAAGCACCUCACCAGGGUUCGACAUGUACAUGAUCAUCCUAUGAAAGUAGGACUUCCGCAAGGACUAGUACAAAGCUGUUGCAUGGCUGUCGUCAGUUCGUUCUGUGAAGAGUGCCCUUAAGUGGGACAACGAACGCAACCUUCGUCGCAAGUUAGACAUGUCUUGCGAGACUGUCCCUUCUUCUGAAGGGAAGGAAGAAGAAGCAGACGUCAAGUCAGCAUGACGCCUAUGCCCUGGGCUACACACAUGCUACAAUGAGCCAUACAGAAGGACGCAAUACCGUAAGGUCUAGCAAAUCCUAUAAAAUGGCUCUCAGUGGGGAUUGGGGUCUGAAACUCGACCUCAUGAACGCGGAAUUAGUAGUAAACGCGAAUCAGCUAUGUCGCGUUGAAUACGUUCUUGUCUCUUGCACACACUGCCCGUCAAGCCAACAAAGUCGGAGAUAUCUGAACCACGGUGUAUAUCGUGGGAAGGUAGAAUCGGCGAUGGGGGCUAAGUCGUAACAAGGUAACCGUA